rnacentral:snoRNA from 1 species
AAGUUGCCUGUGAUGGUGUUAAAUAUACUUUGAGCUUUCAGCCAGGGGCGGAACUGGGCCUAGGGCAACUU